rnacentral:rRNA from 1 species
UGGGGAAUAUUGGACAAUGGGCGCAAGCCUGAUCCAGCCAUGCCGCGUGAGUGAUGAAGGCCUUAGGGUUGUAAAGCUCUUUCGCCGACGAAGAUAAUGACGGUAGUCGGAGAAGAAGCCCCGGCUAACUUCGUGCCAGCAGCCGCGGUAAUACGAAGGGGGCUAGCGAUGUUCGGAAUCACUGGGCGUAAAGCGCACGUAGGCGGAUUGUUAAGUCAGGGGUGAAAGCCUGGAGCUCAACUCCAGAACUGCCCUUGAUACUGGCAAUCUCGAGUCCGGAAGAGGUAAGUGGAACUGCGAGUGUAGNGGUGAAAUUCGUAGAUAUUCGCAAGAACACCAGUGGCGAAGGCGGCUUACUGGUCCGGUACUGACGCUGAGGUGC